UACGUAGGGUGCAAGCGUUAAUCGGAAUUACUGGCGUAAAGCGUGCGCAGGCGGUUGUGCAAGACAGAUGUGAAAUCCCCGGGCUUAACCUGGGAACUGCAUUUGUGACUGCACGGCUAGAGUGUGUCAGAGGGGGGUAGAAUUCCACGUGUGAGCAGUGAAAUGCGUAGAUAUGUGGAGGAAUACCGAUGGCGAAGGCAGCCCCUGGGAUAACACUGACGCCUCAUGCACGAAGCGUGGGAGCAAACAGG
rnacentral:rRNA from 1 species